UUACGGGAGGCAGCAGUGGGGAAUAUUGGACAAUGGGCGCAAGCCUGAUCCAGCAAUGCCGCGUGAGUGAAGAAGGUCUUCGGAUUGUAAAGCUCUUUUGGCGGGGACGAUGAUGACGGUACCCGCAGAAUAAGCCCCGGCUAACUUCGUGCCAGCAGCCGCGGUAAUACGAAGGGGGCUAGCGUUGCUCGGAAUGACUGGGCGUAAAGGGCGCGUAGGCGGAUUGUACAGUCAGACGUGAAAUUCCUGGGCUCAACCUGGGGGCUGCGUUUGAUACGUAUAGUCUUGAGUGAGGAAGAGGGUUGUGGAAUUCCCAGUGUAGAGGUGAAAUUCGUAGAUAUUGGGAAGAACACCGGUGGCGAAGGCGGCAACCUGGUCCUUUACUGACGCUGAGGCGCGAAAGCGUGGGGAGCAAACAGGAUUAGAUACCCUGGU
rnacentral:rRNA from 1 species